GACGAACGCUGGCGGCGUGCUUAACACAUGCAAGUCGAACGGUGAAGCCCCACCUUGCUGGAGUGGACCAGUGGCGAACGGGUGAGUAACACGUGAGUAACCUGCCCCUGACUUUGGAAUAAGUUCUGGAAACGGCGUCUAAUACUGGAUACGAGCAGGGUCUGCAUGGUCACGUUCUGGAAAGUUCGUCGGUUGGGGAUGGGCUCGCGGCCUAUCAGCUUGUUGGUGAGGUAGUGGCUCACCAAGGCGUCGACGGGUAGCCGGCCUGAGAGGGCGACCGGCCACACUGGGACUGAGACACGGCCCAGACUCCUACGGGAGGCAGCAGUGGGGAAUAUUGCACAAUGGGCGGAAGCCUGAUGCAGCGACGCCGCGUGCGGGAUGACGGCCUUCGGGUUGUAAACCGCUUUCGGCAGGGAAGAAGCGAGAGUGACGGUACCUGCAGAAGAAGCACCGGCUAACUACGUG
rnacentral:rRNA from 1 species